AACGAAACUCAUAGAACCUAUUCCUUCGGGGAGAAGUUUUAUGAUUUUUAGUGGCGAACGGGUGAGUAACACGAGAACAACCACCCCCUGACAGUGGAAUAACAACGGAAAACCGUUGCUAAUACCGCAUAAUAUCCUUUUACGGCAUCGAAAAGGGAUCAAAGAUUUAUCGGUCAGGGACGGGCUCGCGUCCGAUUAGGUAGUAGGUAAGGUAACGGCUUACCUAGCCUGCGAUCGGUAGCCGGACUGAGAGGUCGAUCGGCCACAUUGGGACUGAGACACGGCCCAGACUCCUACGGGAGGCAGCAGUGGGGAAUAUUGGGCAAUGGGGGCAACCCUGACCCAGCGACGCCGCGUGAGUGAUGACGGCCUUCGGGUUGUAAAGCUCUGUCUUCAGGGACGAUAAUGACGGUACCUGAGGAGGAAGCCACGGCUAACUACGUGCCAGCAGCCGCGGUAAUAUGUAGGUGGCGAGCGUUGUCCGGAUUUACUGGGCGUAAAGGGAGCGUAGGCGGAUUUUUAAGUGAGAUGUGAAAUACUCGGGCUUAACCUGAGUGCUGCAUUUCAAACUGGAAGUCUAGAGUGCAGGAGAGGAGAAGGGAAUUCCUAGUGUAGCGGUGAAAUGCGUAGAGAUUAGGAAGAACACCAGUGGCGAAGGCGCUUCUCUGGACUGUAACUGACGCUGAGGCUCGAAAGCGUGGGGAGCAAACAGGAUUAGAUCCCCUGGUAGUCCNCGCCGUNAGCGCCCACAAGGGGGUAGGGGUGUCAGUACCUCGGUGCGCCGUUAACGCAUUAAGUAUUCCGCCUGGGGAGUGCGGUCGCAAGAAUUAAAACUCAAAGGAAUUGACGGGGGCCCCCACCAGCAGCGGAGCAUUUGGUUUAAUUCGAAGCAACGCGAAGAUCUUUACCUUGACUUGACAUCUCCUGCAUUACUCUUAAUCGAGGAAGUCCCUUCGGGGACAAGAAGACAGGUGGUGCAUGGUUGUCGUCAGCUCGUGUCGUGAGAUGUUGGGUUAAGUCCCGCAACGAGCGCAACCCUUAUUGUUAGUUGCCAUCAUUAAGUUGGGCACUCUAGCGAGACUGCCCGGGUUAACCGGGAGGAAGGUGGGGAUGACGUCAAAUCAUCAUGCCCCUUAUGUCUAGGGCUACACACGUGCUACAAUGGUCGGUACAAUAAGACGCAAGCCCGCGAGGGGGAGCAAAACUGGAAAACCGAUCUCAGUUCGGAUUGUAGGCUGAAACUCGCCUACAUGAAGCUGGAGUUGCUAGUAAUCGCGAAUCAGCAUGUCGCGGUGAAUACGUUCCCGGGCCUUGCACACACCGCCCGUCA
rnacentral:rRNA from 1 species